rnacentral:rRNA from 1 species
CCUACGGGGGGCAGCAGUGGGGGAUAUUGCACAAUGGGGGAAACCCUGAUGCAGCGACGCCGCGUGAGUGAAGAAGUAUUUCGGUAUGUAAAGCUCUAUCAGCAGGGAAGAAAAUGACAGUACCUGACCCAGAAGCCCCGGCUAACUACGUGCCAGCAGCCGCGGUAAUACGUAGGGGGCAAGCGUUAUCCGGAUUUACUGGGUGUAACGGGAGCGUAGACGGUUAUGUAAGUCUGGAGUGAAAGCCCCGGGCCCAACCCCGGGACUGCUUUGGAAACUGUGUAACUGGAGUACAGGAGGGGCAGGCGGAAUUCCUGGUGUAGCGGUGAAAUGCGUAGAUAUCAGGAGGAACACCGGCGGCGAAGGCGGCCUGCGGGACUGAAACUGACGUUGAGGCACGAAAGCGUGGGGAGCAAACAGGAUUAGAUACCCUGGUAGUC